UUGAAAUUUGUUAAUGGUAAGAACAUAGUUCUAUUUAAUGCUUUUUUUUUUAUUACUAGCAUUGUUUCACCCUUCUUUCCUUCUCGUCCCCAGGAAAGGUGGGGGAGAGGGGUAAGCCUCAGCUAAAAACAAUGUGUCAGGCCCCUGAUGGUGCAGUUCAGCAAGAGGGCGUGCUCAGAUCCACCUGGUCUUGUGGAAAUCUUUGGGAGGAACGACAAAAUUAGCUAUUUGCUUGAAAAUCAACAGUUCCAUUGUUGUAUUGCAAGUUAUUGUUUGCUGGGUAAACCUCGAUUCAAUUGUUCAGCAGGUUCUAGGUCGCUCUUUGAAUUGCCAUUCGUGUCAUAUUUUGCUGUUCUAAUAGCAGUUGAAGUGUUCAGGUUUGCACAUUGUUGGCAGCAGAUUCUAAUCGUAGUUAUUAAGGAAGGCCUUAAUCCUCUAACCUUAGCACUUGGCUGCCCUUAGAACUACCAGAUAACUACUGUGUUCUCUCCUUUUUUUUAUUUGGUUCAUAACCCCUUCACAUUGGUAGAUUUCUU
rnacentral:lncRNA from 1 species